rnacentral:misc_RNA from 1 species
GUUAAUCAUCAAAUUUUUGAACGCAAAUUGCACUCUCUGGUAUUCCGGAGAGUAUGCCUGUUUGAGGGUCAGUUUAAAUAAAAAUCGGUGUGGCUGCUGCCUUUCGUGGUGACGCACCGGCUUUUGUUCGUCUUGCCUUCGGUUAAGUGACCUAAAAUUUUGCAUGAUUUUUUCGCACGUAUUUAAAUGAUUUUACGUACGUUUGCGAUGUCGAAUUCUAGGUGCGUU